AGAGGUCCUCUGCUCCCGGGCCCGGCGGGAACAAACUGCCGCGGUGGCGGGAGCUAGGCUCGCUUGGCUGGAGGCGGGUCAUCCUUCUCCUCGCAGCUCCCGCAACCCCCGUGGCUCCCUGGAGCCACCACCUUCAGUGCGCUCAGUCGCUGGAAGUCAAAGCUUAUGUUCUGGUGAUGGCAGUGACUACAAACCUCCUCUCCUCAUCUCCCCAAGGCGGCGCCCGGGCCACCCGGGCCGAAGCGCGGAUGGAUCGCCAGUGAGCCCAGACGCCCAGACGGACGCCGCAGACAAGUACCUACUAGAGGCUAAGGGGGUUCUGGACGACUAGUGAAAAGAGUGAUCUGGAGGGCAAACUUGGCGCCGGUAGAUCCUAUUCAGAGAGUUUCUCUUAAGAGCCCCAUAGAGAAGCCAUUUUGUGGAUCUGGGAAAGAAAAGCCUUCCUGAGAUUGUAUGGAUAUUAUUAAGUCAGUGGCGAAACUGCUGAAGUCCUGAGCUGCUGAUGGGCAAGUUUGUCUCUAGACUCCGAAGAGCCUGCUGUCUUAAGAGUUUGGAGCUUGAAGAGCAUCCUGGUCCGCCUCAGGCACUUCUAGCCUGUGAAAAGAGGCAGGAACUAAACAGGGCGUACCAUGUCCAUGCUCUUUUUACAAUUUUAUUUACCAACCGGCUAACCUUGGGGAAAGCUGCAGAGCCGAUGCUAACCCCCUCUCCCUCUCCAAGAGGCCACAGCCCCUUUUUGAGAUCUAAAAAACAGCUGCUACAACUCCUGUCUCUAAACCUGCCUUGGAAUCUAAGUUUCUCUUAGCUGAAUUUGGAGGCAGAGACUCAAAAUCCUGUCCCUCAAAGAUGGACUUAAGAUGACCGGGACCCUAGACACAGAGAUGACAGAUAGCUGAGAUUCCAGUGUAUGCAUCAUGAUUUCAGCAGCCCAACCCCAGCCGCCUCUCCUCUAUCCCACAGCUAGAGUGACACCCUUUUCCUCUGGUUCCACAACUCCUGGCCAAGGACCCCUCCAUCCACAGACAAAGUAGUGGGAGACUUGCUUAAGCACCUAUGACCUACUCUGCGGCGGCGGCGGCGGCGGUUGGGACCAGAGUAAGCUAUGGAUUCGUGGGAAGAGGGUUGCAAGUUCAAGAGAGGGUACAAACAGCACCACCCCCAAGCCACGGAGCGAAGGCGCCAGCUUAACGUAUCCGAAGAGCUCAAAGCGACUGGAUUAGGCCAAGCUUUGCAAGAGAGCUGAGAUUCGGCAAAGCCAGUAAGUGAGGACAAUUGCAGGUGUGCUGGAGCCCGUGCUCCGAUUCUACACUUUACCUGGUGGAUUCUAUGGGCCCUAGGUCCGAGGGUCUGUUUAUCUGACUUAGUAUGUUUCUUUUCCCUCGUUUAACUUGCUCAUUGUGGUCAAGAAUGCCGCAGAGUGGCAGACCUCUUACAGAUUUCCACUACCGAUCUCAUUUGAUGUUCACUGGGUCCCGGUGACCUGAGACUUCCCUGGAAUGCUGGCUGUUCAAAUCUGCGGGAGCAGGGACCUGGUGUGGGACUGGCCACUUGACCUCAGAGGGAAAGGCUGUGUGCUAGCGUGCAGAUCGGGAGGAGAGAUGAAAGUCGGGAGACAGAAGAAGGGAGACAGACGAAUGUGGAGAGCUACGAUGCUGCCCUAGAACCUGGUGGGCACGGGCCCGCGACCUCCUUCGUACCAAUCUCACACUGCGUCUAGAACAGCGGCACUCUGGGAAUGGACCGCGCUUCUAGGAUCCUAAAUUGGAUCCUAGAAGGGAACUGUGCCUAGCCUUAGGGACUAAGGUCCCCUGUGCAUUGUUACAUUUCACUUUUCCAAAUGAUAGGUGAAGUAGUAGGUCCUCUAAUGGGCAGAAAAAUGCUGCAGAACUCCCAGGCUGGUGGAGUACGUGCGGAGCCUCUUAAACCUAGAGGAAGCUGCAUGAGGGACCAGCCAGAGCCCGGGCCCAGCUGCUCAGAAGCAAUGGGUGGAUUCCUGGAGAACAGCGACCUCUGGAGGACCGUCGCAUCCACAAAAAGCCAGGAACAACACACUUGGUUGAGUCUAAACUGCCAUCUUCCCACCCCACACUCCUUUGGCACUCAUCCAGAAAUCUAAAGAUUCCAGUGGAUGGAGGAAGACAGUGGCUUCAUAGGAACUAGAACAGCUGUCAGCUGCAGAGUCAAGCUCCUCCAGGAAGCCUUAGUCAUCCUGAGUCCCCCCUCCCAUCUCAGAAAUGAUGUGUAGUUUCCAAAACAAUUUAUCUCUACUGGAACAAGGAAAUAAACAAAGAAAAAGGAAGAUAUAGAAUCCAGGAAGCAGAAGACGUAACACAGGACAGAGAUGAAGGGAUGGUGAGAGAAAUUCCAGAGUGACAUCUGUACAGCAGACGUAGAGAACCACCAGACCAGACUGGAGCCAGAGGACAGAGAAAGCUGGGAGAGCGAUCCCCAGGAGGCAGACAUGCAGCAAAAACAGUGCUGAAUUUCCUUAUACCUUAUACAUUUGCUCUUUUGAAAAAUUGUACUGUUGGAAAGAGAGGGAAAAUUUAGCAGUAGAUAGAAGCUGAGCAAAUGAAAGCAAAAAGACAUAGUUAAGGACAGGAAAAAUUUAAAAAUUGAACGCACAAAAGUCAGGAGCACUGUAUACUCAUGAUUUAUCAGAUAAUAAAAUGCAUACAGUAUACAAAACAAUAAUGUAAAUGCUAUUGUAAAAAUUAAUUUAACCUAAAGUUAGUGGGGUUUGGUGGCAAUGGGAAGAGGAGAAGAUUUCAGAGGUAAAUAAUCAGGUGUCAUAAUAAACAGUUAAUCAUUAGAGCUGAGGGUGCGUUUUUUUGUUGUUUUUUUUUUAGUGACAGAACACUUGAUUGACAUGUUCAUGGCACAGGUUUCAUCCCUAGCACUGCAAAAC
ensembl:processed_transcript Foxd2os forkhead box D2, opposite strand